AUGAACGCUAGCUACAGGCUUAACACAUGCAAGUCGAGGGGCAGCAUGAACUUAGCUUGCUAAGUUUGAUGGCGACCGGCGCACGGGUGAGUAACACGUAUCCAACCUGCCGAUGACUCGGGGAUAGCCUUUCGAAAGAAAGAUUAAUACCCGAUGGCAUAGUUCUUCCGCAUGGUAGAACUAUUAAAGAAUUUCGGUCAUCGAUGGGGAUGCGUUCCAUUAGGUUGUUGGCGGGGUAACGGCCCACCAAGCCUUCGAUGGAUAGGGGUUCUGAGAGGAAGGUCCCCCACAUUGGAACUGAGACACGGUCCAAACUCCUACGGGAGGCAGCAGUGAGGAAUAUUGGUCAAUGGACGAGAGUCUGAACCAGCCAAGUAGCGUGAAGGAUGACUGCCCUAUGGGUUGUAAACUUCUUUUAUACGGGAAUAAAGUGAGGCACGUGUGCCUUUUUGUAUGUACCGUAUGAAUAAGGAUCGGCUAACUCCGUGCCAGCAGCCGCGGUAAUACGGAGGAUCCGAGCGUUAUCCGGAUUUAUUGGGUUUAAAGGGAGCGUAGGCGGACGCUUAAGUCAGUUGUGAAAGUUUGCGGCUCAACCGUAAAAUUGCAGUUGAUACUGGGUGUCUUGAGUACAGUAGAGGCAGGCGGAAUUCGUGGUGUAGCGGUGAAAUGCUUAGAUAUCACGAAGAACUCCGAUUGCGAAGGCAGCUUGCUGGACUGUAACUGACGCUGAUGCUCGAAAGUGUGGGUAUCAAACAGGAUUAGAUACCCUGGUAGUCCACACCGUAAACGAUGGAUACUAGGUGUAGGAGAUAUUAAGUCUUCUGUGCCGUCGCAAACGCAGUAAGUAUCCCACCUGGGGAGUACGGCCGCAAGGUUGAAACUCAAAGGAAUUGACGGGGGCCCGCACAAGCGGUGGAUUAUGUGGUUUAAUUCGAAGCAACGCGAAGAACCUUACCAAGGCUUGACAUAUACAGGAAUAACUAAGAAAUUAGUUAGCUCUUCGGAGUCUGUAUACAGGUGGUGCAUGGUUGUCGUCAGCUCGUGCCGUGAGGUGUCGGCUUAAGUGCCAUAACGAGCGCAACCCUUAUCGAUAGUUACCAUCAGGUUAUGCUGGGGACUCUGUCGAGACUGCCGUCGUAAGAUGUGAGGAAGGUGGGGAUGACGUCAAAUCAGCACGGCCCUUACGUCCGGGGCUACACACGUGUUACAAUGGGGGGUACAGAAGGCAGCUACACGGCGACGUGAUGCUAAUCCCGAAAGCCUCUCUCAGUUCGGAUUGGAGUCUGCAACCCGACUCCAUGAAGCUGGAUUCGCUAGUAAUCGCGCAUCAGCCACGGCGCGGUGAAUACGUUCCCGGGCCUUGUACACACCGCCCGUCACACCAUGAGAGUCGGGAACACCCGAAGUCCGUAGCCUAACCGCAAGGAGGGCGCGGCCGAAGGUGGGUUCGAUAAUUGGGGUG
rnacentral:rRNA from 1 species